rnacentral:rRNA from 1 species
CCUACGGGAGGCUGCAGUAGGGAAUAUUGCUCAAUGGGGGAAACCCUGAAGCAGCAACGCCGCGUGGAGGAUGAAGGUUUUCGGAGUGUAAACUCCUUUUGAUAGAGAAGAGAAUGACGGUAUCUAAGGAAUAAGCACCGGCUAACUCCGGGCCAGCAGCCGCGGUAAUACGGAGGGUGCAAGCGUUAAUCGGACUCACUGGGCGUAAAGAGCGCAUAGGCGGGAUUGCAAGUGAGAUGUGAAAUCCUAGGGCUUAACCAUAGAACUGCAUUUGAAACUGUUAUUCUAGAGUAUGGGAGAGGUAGGUUGAAUUCUUGGUGUAGGGGUCCAAUCCGUA